rnacentral:misc_RNA from 1 species
AACAUCGCGCACCUGCGGGAACCUGCGGAAGGAUCAUUACCGAGUUAUACAACUCCCAAACCCACUGUGAACCUUACCUCAGUUGCCUCGGCGGGAACGCCCCGGCCGCCUGCCCCCGCGCCGGCGCCGGACCCAGGCGCCCGCCGCAGGGACCCCAAACUCUCUUGCAUUACGCCCAGCGGGCGGAAUUUCUUCUCUGAGUUGCACAAGCAAAAACAAAUGAAUCAAAACUUUCAACAA